rnacentral:rRNA from 1 species
CAGUCGCCACGGUAAUACGUAGGGGGCAAGCGUUGUCCGGAAUUACUGGGCGUAAAGCGCGCGUAGGCGGUUUUGUAAGUCAGAUGUGAAAUCCCUGGGCUCAACCUGGGAACUGCAUUUGAUACUGCAUGGCUAGAGUAUCGAAGAGGGAAGUGGAAUUUCCGGUGUAGCGGUGAAAUGCGUAGAUAUCGGAAGGAACACCAGUGGCGAAAGCGACUUCCUGGUCGAAUACUGACGUUCAUGUGCGAAAGCGUGGGGAGCAAACAGGAUUAGAUACCCCUGUAGUCCCUGUCUCUUAUAC